CAGUCGCCACGGGAAUACAGAGGGUGCGAGCGUUAAUCGGAUUUACUGGGCGUAAAGCGUGCGUAGGCGGCUUCUUAAGUCGGAUGUGAAAUCCCUGAGCUUAACUUAGGAAUUGCAUUUGAUACUGGGAAGCUAGAGUAUGGGAGAGGAUGGUAGAAUUCCAGGUGUAGCGGUGAAAUGCGUAGAGAUCUGGAGGAAUACCGAUGGCGAAGGCAGCCAUCUGGCCUAAUACUGACGCUGAGGUACGAAAGCAUGGGGAGCAAACAGGAUUAGAUACCCCAGUAGUCCCUGUCUCUUAUAC
rnacentral:rRNA from 1 species